rnacentral:rRNA from 1 species
AAGCAGCCAUCCUUUAAAGAAAGCGUAAUAGCUCACUGAUCGAGUCUUUCUGCGCGGAAGAUGUAACGGGGCUAAGCAAGUAACCGAAGCCGCGGAUUCAUACGAAAGUAUGAGUGGUAGGGGAGCGUUCUGUAAGCCUGCGAAGGUGUGUUGAGAAGCAUGCUGGAGGUAUCAGAAGUGCGAAUGCUGACAUGAGUAACGUUAAAGCGGGUGAAAAGCCCGCUCGCCGUAAGCCCAAGGUUUCCUGCUCUACGUUCAUCGGAGCAGGGUGAGUCGGCCCCUAAGGCCAGGCUGAGAAGCGUAGUCGAUGGGAACAAGGUUAAUAUUCCUAGACCAUUGUCAAGUAUGCGAUGGGGGGACGGAGUGUGAAAGAUGAUCCGGGUGUUGGAUAUCCCGGUUUGUGAGAGUAGAAGGAGAGCAGGCAAAUCCGCUCUCGAAUCUUCGAGUCAAAACAUCGAUUCUCCACGUGAGAAGAAGUCAUCGGAAGUGCUUCCAAGAAAAGCCUCUAAGUGGUAGCUUGACAAGACCGUACCGCAAACCGACACUGGUGGGCGAGUUGAAUAUACUAAGGCGCUUGAGAGAACUCGGGAGAAGGAACUCGGCAAAUUGACACCGUAACUUCGGAAGAAGGUGUGCCUUUGUAGCGUGAGAGAAGAAACAUCUUAAGCGUGAAGAGGCCUCAGAGAAUAGGUGGCUGCAACUGUUUACUAAAAACAUAGCACUCUGCAAAGAUGAAAGUCGACGUAUAGGGUGUGAUGCCUGCCCGGUGCUGGAAGAUUAAUUGAUGGGGUGCAAGCUCCUGAUCGAAGUCCCAGUAAACGGCGGCCGUAACUAUAACGGUCCUAAGGUAGCGAAAUUCCUUGUCGGGUAAGUUCCGACCUGCACGAAUGGCAUAAUGAUGGCCACACUGUCUCCUCCCGAGACUCAGUGAAGUUGAAAUGUUUGUGAUGAUGCAAUCUACCCGCGGCUAGACGGAAAGACCCCAUGAACCUUUACUGUAGCUUUACAUUGGACUGUGAACCGAUUUGUGUAGGAUAGGUGGGAGGCAGAGAAACUCGAACGCCAGUUUGAGCGGAGCCAACCUUGAAAUACCACCCUGAUUUGUUUGCGGUUCUAACCUCGGCCCAUGAUCUGGGCUAGGGACCGUGUAUGGUAGGCAGUUUGACUGGGGCGGUCUCCUCCUAAAGGGU